rnacentral:tRNA from 1 species
GGGGGUAUAACUCAGGGGUAGAGUUCAUGCUUAACAUGCAUGAGGUCCUGGGUUCAAUUCUCAGUACCUCCA